rnacentral:misc_RNA from 1 species
GAUGAAGAACGCAGCGAAAUGCGAUAAGUAGUGUGAAUUGCAGAAUUCAGUGAAUCAUCGAAUCUUUGAACGCACAUUGCGCCCCCUGGUAUUCCGGGGGGCAUGCCUGUCCGAGCGUCAUUACAACCCUCAAGCUCAGCUUGGUGUUGGGCCCCGCCGCCCCGGCGGGCCCUAAAGUCAGUGGCGGUGCCGUCCGGCUCCGAGCGUAGUAAUUCUUCUCGCUCUGGAGGUCCGGUCGUGUGCUUGCCAGCAACCCCCAAUUUUUUUCAGGUUGACCUCGGAUCAGGUAGGGAUACCCGCUGAACUUAAGCAUAUCAAUAAGCGGAGGA